rnacentral:rRNA from 1 species
AUUGAACGCUGGCGGCAUGCCUUACACAUGCAAGUCGAACGGUAACGCGGGGCAACCUGGCGACGAGUGGCGAACGGGUGAGUAAUGCAUCGGAACGUGCCCAGAAGUGGGGGAUAGCCCGGCGAAAGCCGGAUUAAUACCGCAUGAGACCUGAGGGUGAAAGCGGGGGAUCGCAAGACCUCGCGCUUUUGGAGCGGCCGAUGUCAGAUUAGCUAGUUGGUGGGGUAAAGGCCUACCAAGGCGACGAUCUGUAGCUGGUCUGAGAGGACGACCAGCCACACUGGGACUGAGACACGGCCCAGACUCCUACGGGAGGCAGCAGUGGGGAAUUUUGGUCAAUGGGCGCAAGCCUGAUCCAGCCAUGCCGCGUGCGGGAAGAAGGCCUUCGGGUUGUAAACCGCUUUUGUCAGGGAAGAAACGCUCUGGGCUAAUACCCUGGGGUAAUGACGGUACCUGAAGAAUAAGCACCGGCUAACUACGUG